UACGUAGGCAGCAAACGUUGUUCGGAAUUACUGGGCGUAAAGAGUGUGUAGGCGGUUUUGUAAGUUUGGUGGGAAAUCUCCCGGCUUAACUGGGAGGGUGCGCCGAAAACUGCAAGGCUUGAGUGCUGGAGAGGAGAGCGGAAUUCCUGGUGUAGCGGUGAAAUGCGUAGAUAUCAGGAGGAACACCGGCGGUGUAGACGGCUCUCUGGACAGUAACUGACGCUGAGACACGAAAGCGUGGGGAGCAAACAGG
rnacentral:rRNA from 1 species